rnacentral:rRNA from 1 species
ACGCACGCUGGCGGCGUGCUUAACACAUGCAAGUCGAACGGAAAGGCCCUGCUUUUGUGGGGUGCUCGAGUGGCGAACGGGUGAGUAACACGUGAGUAACCUGCCCUUGACUUUGGGAUAACUUCAGGAAACUGGGGCUAAUACCGGAUAGGAGUUCCUGCUGCAUGGUGGGGGUUGGAAAGUUUCGGCGGUUGGGGAUGGACUCGCGGCUUAUCAGCUUGUUGGUGGGGUAGUGGCUUACCAAGGCUUUGACGGGUAGCCGGCCUGAGAGGGUGACCGGCCACAUUGGGACUGAGAUACGGCCCAGACUCCUACGGGAGGCAGCAGUGGGGAAUAUUGCACAAUGGGCGGAAGCCUGAUGCAGCAACGCCGCGUGCGGGAUGACGGCCUUCGGGUUGUAAACCGCUUUCGCCUGUGACGAAGCGUGAGUGACGGUAAUGGGUAAAGAAGCACCGGCUAACUACGUG